GAGGGUAUAGCUCAAAGUGGUAGAGCACAUCCUUAGCAUGCACGAGGUCCUGGGUUCAAUUCCCAGUACCUCCU
rnacentral:tRNA from 1 species